rnacentral:rRNA from 1 species
GUUAGGAAUAUUGGACAAUGGGCGAAAGCCUGAUCCAGCCAUGCCGCGUGAACGAUGAAGGCCUUCGGGUUGUAAAGUUCUUUAGCCGAUGAUUAUAAUGACUGUAGUCGGAAAAUAAGCCCCGGCUAACUUCGUGCCAGCAGCCGCGGUAAUACGAAGGGGGCGAGCGUUAUUCGGAAUCACUGGGCGUAAAGUGUGCGUAGGCGGUUUUGUAAGUUAGGAGUGAAAGCCCAGGGCUCAACCUUGGAAUUGCUCUUAAAACUGCAAGGCUCGAAUCUCGGAGAGGAUAGCGGAAUUUCCAGUGUAGCAGUGAAAUGCGUAGAUAUUGGAAGGAACACCAGUGGCGUAAGCGGCUAUCUGGACGAGUAUUGACGCUGAGGCACGAAAGCGUGGGGAUCAAACAGGAUUAGAUACCCCUGUAGUCC